UUGAAUGGCCGCAGUAUAUUGACUGUGCAAAGGUAGCAUAAUCAUUAGUUUCUUAAUUAGGAACUGGAAUGAAGGGUUGGACGAGAAAAUAGCUGUCUCUUUAUAAAUUUUUUAGAAUUUUAUUUUUAAGUUAAAAAGCUUAAAUUAGUUUAAAAGACGAGAAGACCCUAUAGAGUUUUAUAUACUUUUAUAUAUAAAUAUUUUUAGUAAAAGUUAUAUUUUUUUUAAUAGUAUAUUUAGUUGGGGUGAUUAAAAAAUUUAAUAAACUUUUUUUUUAUAUAAACAUUGAUUUAUGAAAUUUUGAUCCAUAAAAAUGAUUAUAAGAUUAAAUUACCUUAGGGAUAACAGCGUAAUUUCUUUGAAGAGUUCUAAUCGAUAAAGGAGUUUGCGACCUCGAUGUUGGAUUAAAAUUUAAUUUUGGUGUAGAAGCUAAAAAAAUUAGGUCUGUUCGACCUUUAAAAUUUUACAUGAUCUGAGUUUAAACCGGUGUGAGCCAGGUUGGUUUCUAUCUUUAAAAAUUUUUAAUAUUUUAGUACGAAAGGACCAAAUAUUAAUAAAAUUUAUUUAUAAUUGAUUAUUAUUAAUAU
rnacentral:rRNA from 1 species